GAUGAACGCUGGCGGCGUGCCUAAUACAUGCAAGUCGAGCGAACGGACGAGAAGCUUGCUUCUCUGAUGUUAGCGGCGGACGGGUGAGUAACACGUGGAUAACCUACCUAUAAGACUGGGAUAACUUCGGGAAACCGGAGCUAAUACCGGAUAAUAUUUUGAACCGCAUGGUUCAAAAGUGAAAGACGGUCUUGCUGUCACUUAUAGAUGGAUCCGCGCUGCAUUAGCUAGUUGGUAAGGUAACGGCUUACCAAGGCAACGAUGCAUAGCCGACCUGAGAGGGUGAUCGGCCACACUGAACUGAGACACGGUCCAGACUCCUACGGGAGGCAGCAGUAGGGAAUCUUCCGCAAUGGGCGAAAGCCUGACGGAGCAACGCCGCGUGAGUGAUGAAGGUCUUCGGAUCGUAAAACUCUGUUAUUAGGGAAGAACAUAUGUGUAAGUAACUGUGCACAUCUUGACGGUACCUAAUCAGAAAGCCACGGCUAACUACGUG
rnacentral:rRNA from 1 species